rnacentral:rRNA from 1 species
AAUCCUGGUUGAAGAUGGGUGGACCAUCAUCCAAGGCUAAAUACUACUUACUGACCGAUAGUGAACCAGUACCGUGAGGGAAAGGUGAAAAGAACCCCGGAGAGGGGAGUGAAAUAGAAUCUGAAACCGUUUGCGUACAAGCAGUGGGAGCAUGGUUUAGGCUGUGUGACUGCGUACCUUUUGUAUAAUGGGUCAGCGAGUUACUUUCAGUGGCGAGGUUAACUGAAUAAGGGAGCCGUAGAGAAAUCGAGUCUGAAUAGGGCGAUAGUCGCUGGGAGUAGACCCGAAACCGGGCGAUCUAGCCAUGUGCAGGAUGAAGGUUGGGUAACACCAACUGGAGGUCCGAACCGGGUAAUGUUGAAAAAUUAUCGGAUGACGUGUGGCUAGGAGUGAAAGGCUAAUCAAGCCCGGAGAUAGCUGGUUCUCCCCGAAAGCUAUUUAGGUAGCGCCUCGUGAAUGAUUACUGGGGGUAGAGCACUGUUUCGGCUAGGGGGCUGUCAUGGCUUACCAAACCGAUGCAAACUCCGAAUACCGGCUAAUUGAAUCACGGGAGACACACGGCGGGUGCUAACGUCCGUCGUGGAGAGGGAAACAACCCAGACCGCCAGCUAAGGUCCCCAAGUACUAGUUAAGUGGGAAACGAUGUGGGAAGGCAUAGACAGCCAGGAGGUUGGCUUAGAAGCAGCCACCCUUUAAAGAAAGCGUAAUAGCUCACUGGUCGAGUCGGCCUGCGCGGAAGAUGUAACGGGGCUAAAACUAGUCACCGAAGCUGCGGAUGUGCGCGAAGGCGCACGUGGUAGGGGAGCGUUCUGUAGGCUGAUGAAGGUGCAUUGAGAAGUGUGCUGGAGGUAUCAGAAGUGCGAAUGCUGACAUGAGUAACGAUAAUGUGGGUGAAAAGCCCACACGCCGGAAGUCCCAGGUUUCCUGCACGACGUUAAUCGGAGCAGGGUGAGUCGGCCCCUAAGGCGAGGCUGAAGAGCGUAGUCGAUGGGAACCAGGUUAAUAUUCCUGGACUUUUUAUAAGUGGUGAAGUGGGGACGAAGAAGGCUAGGUGAGCCAGGCGUUGGUUGUCCUGGUACUUGCAUGUAGGGGGGAAGACUUGGCAAAUCCGGUUUUCCAUAACUCUGAGGUGCGAAGUGGUUCUGACCUUUUGGUACAGAGAAGUCAUUGAUGCCCGGCUUCCAGGAAAAGCUGCUAGCCAUAACUUAUAGAGAACCGUACCGCAAACCGACACAGGUGGACAGGUAGAGAAUACUAAGGCGCUUGAGAGAACUCGGGUGAAGGAACUAGGCAAAAUGGUACCGUAACUUCGGGAGAAGGUACGCCCUUUCUGGUGAUGGGAUU